rnacentral:siRNA from 1 species
AGAAUCUAUUUCCGUUGCAAACAC